rnacentral:rRNA from 1 species
AUUGAACGCUGGCGGCAGGCCUAACACAUGCAAGUCGAGCGAGCGGCGGACGGGUGAGUAAUGUCUGGGAAACUGCCCGAGGGAGGGGGAUAACUACUGGAAACGGUAGCUAAUACCGCAUACCAUCAGAUGUGCCCAGAUGGGAUGAGCUGGUAGGUGGGGGAACGGCUAACCUAGGCGACGAUCCCUAGAUGUGGUGAGAGGAGGACCAGCCACACUGGAACUGAGACACGGUCCAGCAUCCUACGGGAGGCAGCAGUGGGGACUAUUGCAAAAUGGGCGCAAGCCUGAUGCAGCCAUGCCGCGUGUGUGAAGAAGGCCUGCGGGUUGUAAAGCACUUUCAGCGGGGAGGCGUUACCCGCAGAAGAAGCACCGGCUAACUCCGUGCCAGCCGCCGCGGUAAUUC